CACCACCAGGAGUGGAGCCUGCGGCUUAAUUUGACUCAACACGGGAAAUCUCACCAGGCCCGGACACCGGAAGGAUUGACAGAUUAACAGCUCUUUCUUGAUUCGGUGGGUGGUGGUGCAUGGCCGUUCUUAGUUGGUGGAGCGAUUUGUCUGGUUAAUUCCGGUAACGAACGAGACUCUAGCCUGCUAAAUAGGCGUCGUCAUUUAGGUGUGCGUGGCUCCGUCACGCAACUCACUGGCGACGUAUUAAAAUUCUUCUUAGAGGGACCGGCGGCUUCGAGCCGCACGAGAUUGAGCAAUAACAGGUCUGUGAUGCCCUUAGAUGUCCUGGGCCGCACGCGCGCUACACUGAAGGAAUCAGCAUGUUCUCCCUGGCCUAGAGGCCCGGGCAACCCGCUGAAACUCCUUCGUGCUGGGGAUUGGGGUUUGCAAUUAUCCCCCAUAAACGAGGAAUUCCUAGUAAGCGCGAGUCAUAAGCUCGCGUUGAUUACGUCCCUGCCCUUUGUACACACCGCCCGUCGCUACUACCGAUUGAAUGAUUUAGUGAGGUCUUCGGACCGACACGCGGUGGCUUCGCGGCCGUCGGCGUUGCUGGGAAGUUGACCAAACUUGAUCAUUUAGAGGAAGUAAAAGUCGUAACAAGGUUUCCGUAGGU
rnacentral:rRNA from 1 species